GGACGAACGCUGGCGGCGUGCUUAACACAUGCAAGUCGAACGCUGAAGGCUCAGCUUGCUGGGCUGGAUGAGUGGCGAACGGGUGAGUAACACGUGAGUAACCUGCCCUCUUCUUUGGGAUAACGGUCGGAAACGGCUGCUAAUACCGGGUAUUCACUGUCCUUCGCAUGGGGGGUGGUGGAAAGGUUUUUUCUGGUGGGGGAUGGGCUCGCGGCCUAUCAGCUUGUUGGUGGGGUGAUGGCUUACCAAGGCUUUGACGGGUAACCGGCCUGAGAGGGUGACCGGUCACAUUGGGACUGAGAUACGGCCCAGACUCCUACGGGAGGCAGCAGUGGGGAAUAUUGCACAAUGGGCGAAAGCCUGAUGCAGCGACGCCGCGUGAGGGAUGAAGGCCUUCGGGUUGUAAACCUCUUUCGCUCAUGGUCAAGCCGCAACUKUGGGUUGUGGUGAGGGUAGUGGGUAAAGAAGCACCGGCUAACUACGU
rnacentral:rRNA from 1 species